rnacentral:rRNA from 1 species
UACGGAGGGUGCAAGCGUUAUCCGGAUUCACUGGGUUUAAAGGGUGCGUAGGUGGGCAGGUAAGUCAGUGGUGAAAUCUCCGGGCUUAACUCGGAAACUGCCGUUGACACUAUCUGUCUUGAAUAUCGUGGAGGUUAGCGGAAUAUGUCAUGUAGCGGUGAAAUGCUUAGAUAUGACAUAGAACACCCAUUGCGAAGGCAGCUAACUACACGAUCAUUGACACUGAGGCACGAAAGCGUGGGGAGCAAACAGG